rnacentral:rRNA from 1 species
AUUGAACGCUGGCGGCAGGCCUAACACAUGCAAGUCGAGCGGAUGAGAGGAGCUUGCUUCUCGAUUCAGCGGCGGACGGGUGAGUAAUGCCUAGGAAUCUGCCUGAUAGUGGGGGACAACGUUUUGAAAGGAACGCUAAUACCGCAUACGUCCUACGGGAGAAAGCAGGGGACCUUCGGGCCUUGCGCUAUCAGAUGAGACUAGGUCGGAUUAGCUAGUUGGUGAGGUAAUGGCUCACCAAGGCGACGAUCCGUAACUGGUCUGAGAGGAUGAUCAGUCACACUGGAACUGAGACACGGUCCAGACUCCUACGGGAGGCAGCAGUGGGGAAUAUUGGACAAUGGGCGAAAGCCUGAUCCAGCCAUGCCGCGUGUGUGAAGAAGGUCUUCGGAUUGUAAAGCACUUUAAGUUGGGAGGAAGGGUUGUAGAUUAAUACUCUGCAAUUUUGACGUUACCGACAGAAUAAGCACCGGCUAACUCUGUGCCAGCAGCCGCAGUAAUAC